rnacentral:rRNA from 1 species
AGUGGAUGGGGAGCAACAAAAGUUGUGUGUGUGUAAAGGUAGUGCCAAGAAAAGCUGAGUUGAUGUUGAACAAAAGAUUCCGGUACCCGAAACCGACACAGGUAGGCAAGUAGAGAAUACUAAGGGGCGCGAGGUAACUCUCUCCAAGGAACUCGGCAAAAUGACCCCGUAACUUCGGGAGAAGGGGUGCCACCGAGAGGUGGUCGCAGUGAAGAGUCCCAGGCGACUGUUUAGCAAAAACAUAGGUCUCUGCAAACUCGAAAGAGGAGGUAUAGGGGCUGACGCCUGCCCAGUGCCGGAUGGUUAAAGAAGUUGGUCAGUCGAAAGAUGAAGCUAACGACUGAAGCCCCGGUGAACGGCGGCCGUAACUAUAACGGUCCUAAGGUAGCGAAAUUCCUUGUCGGGUAAGUUCCGACCCGCACGAAAGGCGUAACGAUCUGGGAGCUGUCUCGGAGAGAGGCUCGGCGAAAUAGGAUUGUCUGUGAAGAUACGGACUACCUGCAUUUGGACAGAAAGACCCUAUGAAGCUUUACUGUAGCUUGGAAUUGUGUUCGGGCUUCCUGUGCGCAGGAUAGGUGGGAGGCUAUGAAGGUAUGCUUGUGGGUGUACUGGAGCCGUCAGUGAGAUACCACUCUCAGGGGGCUAGAAUUCUAACUAAAGAAAGGACAGUUUCAGGUGGGCAGUUUGACUGGGGCGGUCGCCUCCAAAAAGGUAACGGAGGCGUACAAAGGUUCCUUCAGACUGGUUGGAAAUCAGUCGCAGAGUGCAAAGGCAGAAAGGAGCUUGACUGCGAGAAUUACAGUUCGAGCAGGGUGGAAACACGGUCUUAGUGAUCCGACGGUGCUGUGUGGAAGGGCCGUCGCUCAACGGAUAAAAGUUACUCUAGGAUAACAGGCUGAUCUCCCCCAAGAGUUCACAUCGACGGGGAGGUUUGGCACCUCGAUGUCGGCUCAUCGCAACCUGGGGCGGAAGUACGUCCCAAGGGUUGGGCUGUUCGCCCAUUAAAGCGGUACGUGAGCUGGGUUCAGAACGUCGUGAGACGGUUCGGUCCAUAUCCGAUGUAGGCGAGAGAAUAUUGAGAGGAGCCUUCCUUAGUACGAGAGGACCGGGAAGGACGCACCGCUGGUGUACCUGUUAUGAUGCCAAUUGUAAACGCAGGGUAGCCAAGUGCGGAGAGGAUAACCGCUGAAAGCAUCUAAGUGGGAAGCCCACCUCAAGAUGAGUAUUCUGUGUUAAGGUCACGGGAAGACGACCCGUAAAUAGGCACGAGGUGGAAGUGCAGUAAUGUAUGAAGCCGAAGUGUACUAAUAGACCGUCAGCUUGACC